UACAGAGGGUGCAAGCGUUAAUCGGAAUCACUGGGCGUAAAGCGCACGUAGGCGGACUCUUAAGUCGGUGGUGAAAUCCUGGAGCUCAACUCCAGAACUGCCUUCGAUACUGGGAGUCUCGAGUUCGGGAGAGGUGAGUGGAACUGCGAGUGUAGAGGUGAAAUUCGUAGAUAUUCGCAAGAACACCAGUGGCGAAGGCGGCUCACUGGUCCGGUACUGACGCUGAGGUGCGAAAGCGUGGGGAGCAAACAGG
rnacentral:rRNA from 1 species